AGUAUGUUCACAUUUGGGAAAGGGCGGAGCGAGAGGAGCUGAGUCCUUCUCGGUUUAAAAGCGUCUCUCCAACUUUUCCACUGAAGAGUGAAUCCAGAGCCUCUCUCCCACCAAGAUACUGCUGUCUUUCCAGACCUCCUAAUGCUAACUUUUUAAACAGACAUGAAUUGCUUGCUUUUUGAAUUUUAUCCUCCUUCUGUUGUGCAGACUGGCCAAGGACUCACACUAUCCUGGUCUUAGCCUCAUAAGUGAUUAAGGGAUUUCUCCAUCUUUCAAAAUAUGGUCUCUACACUGGUGCCAGGACUAGAAUGUGCAAUUAGAAGCACAGGAAGAUGAAGUUUGGUGAACCUCUUACUUAAAAGAUAUCUCAUCUCCCCUUUCCACACAACUGAAGCAACCUAAUCCACUUCAUUCAUUUUACAUUUAGAAUUACAUUUUAGAAUUGCACAUUUUCUUGGGUCAACACGUGUCAAGGAUUUAGCCCUAUGGGCCCUGAAAUAGACACUAUCUUUUUCAUCCCUUUGAUUUACUCAUGGCAUGCUUAGACAUUUAUUACAGCAUCUCAUUAAGUAGUGAAUGAGACUCAUGUGUGCAGAACAGAUCUAAAAUUGUUUCUGAGAUGUAGAUUUUUUCGAAAAGUCCCAACAUUUCUUCCACACAAAGAUAGAUGUCAUACCUAUGUAUCAAUUAGAGCUUUAAUGGAGUAAGAUUAUCUGUUCUAUGGUAAUAAAGUUUUCUUUCUUCUGAGCAGCCACUUGCAAAGUUGUGCAAGAUUCCAUGCUUUAAAUGGCAAACAGUACUGCUCAUCUCACAGAAUUCAAGUCGAUCCAGAUGUGGAUUUGAUUAAUAGAAGCUUACUAACUGUGGCUAAUUACUGAUAAUGAUAGCAUCACGAGGCAACCUCCUCAUCAAUGUCACCUUGGUCUCUUCUGAUUGCUAGGAUAGGAAGAAACUCUACCUGCCGCUCUUCCCCAGUCAAAAUGAAAACAGGGUUGGAUUUAAACCUUGGUUUGAAUGGUAGUGAGGUAGUGAACACAGGUGCAAUAACAAGUAGCCAUCCAGAAAAUGAAAGCUGCUUUUUAGAGCCAUGUGGGUACUACAGACCUGUGGACACUGGUUUUACAGUGAGGACAGAUUAGCUAAUAUCCAAAUUCUCAGAGCAGUGUUUAGUGAUCUUUUGGUAGUUUUCCCUUGACACUUAGAGCUCCAUUCUAAUUGUUUCUGUUUCCUAAAAGCAGGGGAACAGAGUUUAUGUGUCGAGAAUAAAAGUGAAAAUAAACGUCUUUUCCUGUUAGAAUAAUUUUUUUAUAGUGGUAAAACCCUUAGCAUUUCUGCCUCUUGCAUCUUUGCUUAGCAUGCCCAGAGUGUUUAUUGUUACCAUUCCCUAAACAGUACUGCAUUUACAUUUUGUUGUACAUGUUAUAUGCAACAUGCAGACAAACUAAAGUGUAUAGUAGGAUUGUGUACAUUAUAAAUGAGUACUGUGCCAAUUGAUGUGUAAGGGAUGAGCACUGUCAGAUUUGGGUAUCUGUGGGGGUCUUUGAAACAGUCCCUUGUGGAUUCCUAUGGAGGCUGUGCAUGAUUACAGCAUUUUUCUCUUUCAAGCCUAAUUGCCAGCAACUAGAUUUUCAGUGUUCUCCCAAAUAUUUGGGGGCUCUUGAGAAUUCCCAGACAGCUCAUUCUCCUAUUGUGUUUUCUUGUUCUAUUUCUAUGUUGCCUGACUGCUGCCUAUGAUCAGCCAGUAUUCUCAGACUUCUGCUGCAUGCCACAGCAAGGCUUCACUAAUAACUAUUGCUGAAUUCCCAAUGUGAUAUUAGGGAGAAGUCAGGCCAGGCUCAUUUGCUAUUUUUUUUUUCUGAAACAUGGUGCAUGCAAGUUUAACUCACAUCACAAAAGAGACUAGGCUAAAAUAUUCAAGAGGAUCAAAAUUUAGGGCUGUGAAAUACAACAGAAAAAACUUGAUCAUCUAUUUAAAAUGGUCACAAUUAAAACAAUUUUACUUAUUUGUGAAUUUCCUUUUUGUGCAGGGGAUUGAUCUGAGAGGCCUUCUACAUGCUAGCGAAACUGGCAUCCAUAUCUCAGAUGUUUUCCAGUAGGCAAUACACACAUAUUAGCGAAAUCUGGCAUCCAUAGUUCUCAGAUGUUUUCUAGUAGGCAAUACACACAUAUAGGUAUUGAUGAGCCUUGAAGAAUAGUCACUAGAGUCCAGUAAUACACUUUAAAAGUUGGAGACUAGCUAAGCAUCGAGAGUAACACAUCACCAACUCAUUCCUGAUCGCCUUUGUCUCAUUCUUUCCUACAAUGUGAAUUUCUCGUAGUUCUACCUAAGAUUCACUCCUAGACCACAUAGUACUCAGCAUGAACACAUAAUACUUUAUGGAGAUAUAGCUUUAAAAGAAAAAUCCAUUUAAAAUCAUUUAUCCCUCUUUAUAGUUCCAUAUUGAUUCUGUAGACAUAUUCUGUUUACCCCAAUAGUUUUUAAAAAUAAAUUUUUGUAUUGCUUACGGAUAAUUAAACAAUAGGAUAUUUC
ensembl:lincRNA 4930467D21Rik RIKEN cDNA 4930467D21 gene